rnacentral:rRNA from 1 species
AUUGAACGCUGGCGGCAUGCCUUACACAUGCAAGUCGAACGGUAACAGGUCUUCGGAUGCUGACGAGAGGCGAACGGGUGAGUAAUACAUCGGAACGUGCCUAGUAGUGGGGGAUAACUACUCGAAAGAGUGGCUAAUACCGCAUGAGAUCUACGGAUGAAAGCAGGGGAUCGCAAGACCUUGUGCUACUAGAGCGGCCGAUGGCAGAUUAGGUAGUUGGUGGGAUAAAAGCUUACCAAGCCGACGAUCUGUAGCUGGUCUGAGAGGACGAUCAGCCACACUGGGACUGAGACAAGGCCCAGACUCCUACGGGAGGCAGCAGUGGGGAAUUUUGGACAAUGGGCGCAAGCCUGAUCCAGCAAUGCCGCGUGCAGGAUGAAGGCCUUCGGGUUGUAAACUGCUUUUGUACGGAACGAAAAGCCCCGGGUUAAUACCCUGGGGUCAUGACGGUACCGUAAGAAUAAGCACCGGCUAACUACGUGCCAGCCGCCGCGGUAA